UUUUUAUGUGUUAUAAUAACAUUUGUUAUGGAAUUGUUUUAAAGGAGAAACAAUGAAUCUCCUAUACAAAGAAGUUGCAAAGAAAUCUUCCUCACUGAGGUUAUCCUGCAUCUGAAAAACUUGCAGGUGAAAAACUACAUGCAUGGUGGAUAGCAUAUGGACUAUCCAAGGAUGCAUCGAAACUCAAGGCUGAAAGCUAAGAAUGACUUUACAUAAAAGUACUGUAAUUGCCUUUACUGAGUUCCCCUUUCCCAGGGAGUUUGAGACAAGCUAUCCUACUUGUUGCUUUCUCUUUCCUAGAGAUCCUGAAAUGUCUUUCCCACCAUUACUGUGUUUAUUCCUUUUUAGUCCUGUUUUAAGCUAUAAAUUUAACAGGAGGUUUCUAAGCAGAGGAAAAUAAACCUGGCAUGAUUCAGGGCUGGUGAUGGUGGAAGGAAUUUCAAGCAAGAUUCGAGACAGAUUUGAAAGACUAUUUCGUUGACAAGAUGACUUUCAAAGGGCAGUUUACUGAACCUUCUGCACUGAGGUCUGGCCUGCAUGCUGGAAAGGAGAAGAGGGGCCAGGAAGCUUGCCCAUACUUCCGAAGAUGGUAAAUGACAGAAGCAUGCAGAAAAACUUUUUUUUACUGUAAAAGUUUCCAUUAAAAUGCGUCUAUUUUAAAACAGCAAACUGUUGCAUCCUUAUAUGGCACAUAUGACCAUUCCGUUUCAUUAUAGCUCUGUCCUUCCUGAUGUGGGAACACUCAAUGUAGUAUACACAGCAUUUAUGUUUUAUUGGUAGCAACUUCCUGCUGUUAAGAUCUUGAAGAACAUAAACCAAUGGUAAAAGUUAGCUAGUAUGAAUUAAAGCUUUGUUUCUGUAG